UGUAGCGUACCUACUAGCCUACGACGGGUACGGGUUGUGAGAGCAAGAGCCCGGAGAUGGAUUCUGAGACACGAAUCCAGGCCCUACGGGGUGCAGCAGGCGCGAAAACUUUACAAUGCUGGCAACAGCGAUAAGGGAACCUCGAGUGCCAGGUUACAAAUCUGGCUGUCGAGAUGCCUAAAAAGCAUUUCAUAGCAAGGGCCGGGCAAGACCGGUGCCAGCCGCCGCGGUAACACCGGCGGCUCGAGUGGUAACCGUUAUUAUUGGGUCUAAAGGGUCUGUAGCCGGCCGGAUAAGUCUCUUGAGAAAUCUGGCAGCUUAACUGUCAGGCUUUCAGGAGAUACUGUCUGGCUCGAGGCCGGGAGAGGUGAGAGGUACUUCAGGGGUAGGGGUGAAAUCUUGUAAUCCUUGAAGGACCACCAGUGGCGAAGGCGUCUCACCAGAACGGACCUGACGGCAAGGGACGAAAGCUAGGGGCACGAACCGGAUUAGAUACCCGGGUAGUCCUAGCCGUAAACGAUACUCGCUAGGUGUCGGCCACGGUGCGACCGUUGUCGGUGCCGUAGGGAAGCCGUGAAGCGAGC
rnacentral:rRNA from 1 species